CGUGCCUAAUACAUGCAAGUCGAACGCACUCUCGUUUAGAUUGAAGGAGCUUGCUCCUGAUUGAUAAACAUUUGAGUGAGUGGCGGACGGGUGAGUAACACGUGGGUAACCUGCCCUAAAGUGGGGGAUAACAUUUGGAAACAGAUGCUAAUACCGCAUAAAACCUAACACCGCAUGGUGUAGGGUUGAAAGAUGGUUUCGGCUAUCACUUUAGGAUGGACCCGCGGUGCAUUAGUUAGUUGGUGAGGUAAAGGCUCACCAAGACCGUGAUGCAUAGCCGACCUGAGAGGUAAUCGGCCACACUGGGACUGAGACACGGCCCAGACUCCUACGGGAGGCAGCAGUAGGGAAUCUUCCACAAUGGACGAAAGUCUGAUGGAGCAACGCCGCGUGAGUGAAGAAGGUUUUCGGAUCGUAAAACUCUGUUGUUGGAGAAGAAUGUAUCUGAUAGUAACUGAUCAGGUAGUGACGGUAUCCAACCAGAAAGCCACGGCUAACUACGUG
rnacentral:rRNA from 1 species